CACCGCGGUUAUACGUAAAACUCAAGUCAAUAACCUCCGGCGUAAAGAGUGGUCUGAGAAUUUUAUACUAAAGUUGAACUACCUACAAGGUGUUAUACCCCUAAUAGGAAAAGAAAACCGAUGCGAAAGCAACUUUAACAAAUCAAAUCCACGAAAAUUAUGAAA
rnacentral:rRNA from 1 species